rnacentral:lncRNA from 1 species
GAACAACCUCAAGUUUCUAGAUUUUCACCACUGGAAAUUAUUUCUGGUUUUUCCGAGAAGACCCUCACACUCACCAUGGCGAUGUGAGCACUCUAGCUCUUGAAAUCAGCACACACACGUUAAUAUUCAUUUCCAUCGAGAACUCACGUCGAAAGAGGAAAAAGAACUCACCUGGUUCGGGUUCAGUGCCCAAAAAACCCGAAACAACCUCGACUCGAUUCCUACCUUCUAGAGAAUGGUUUCUUUGGUUCCCCGAGAGAACUCUUCACUUAUUG